rnacentral:rRNA from 1 species
GACGAACCGUGCAAACGUUGUUCGGAAUCACUGGGCUUAAAGGGCGCGUAGGCGGGCUCGCCAGUCAGGGGUGAAAGCCUCCAGCUCAACUGGAGAAGUGCCUUUGAUACUGCGAGCCUCGAGGGAGGUAGGGGCGUGCGGAACUUCCGGUGGAGCGGUGAAAUGCGUAGAUAUCGGAAGGAACACCGGUGGCGAAAGCGGCGCGCUGGACCUCUUCUGACGCUGAGGCGCGAAAGCCAGGGGAGCAAACGGG